UCCGCCAGAGGCCAGGCAGCCGGAGCUGCUGAGAAGUCUGUUCUGCGCUUCCCUCCCACGCCUACCACCCCCAACACUCCUCCUACUCCCUUCCGUUGAGAACAAGGAAUUUCCAGUCUUUAGGAAAAGGAGAGACAGAAAGGCUUAGAGACUAUGAGAAACAAGAAAAACAAAGAUAAGGGGCAGGGAGUGGGGAGAUGACAAAAAGAUUCCUAAGAAACUUUGAAUAGCACCGCCGUAGUUGUUUCUUUAGCUCUAUGUUUUGGAUCAUACUAAGGACCCUGGACUUUAUCACAGAAGAUACUCUGGAACCAUAAAGAUCUUGUCAUAUGGGAGUGACAAGGUCAGAUCUGCAUUUAGGAGUGGUGUGGAGGAAGGGUUUUAUGGCUGCAAAAACAUCAGAGAGGCCAGCUUGCAGGAAAUUAAAUGUGAGAAAUCGAAAGGUGCUGGACUAAAUCAUUGGCAUGAGAUAGAGAGGACAGAACAGAUUUCAAAAGAUUUAAAUUAAUAAGACCUGUUGAUUGAGUGGCUAAGGGGUUGGGGAAAGAGGAGAAGGGUUAGGGUGACUCUUGAGCUUCUAGCUUGGGUGAUGGAGUAAAUAGAAUAGAGUGCUUCUUCCCAAAACUUUGGGAAUUUUCUUCAUCAAAUACUCACCAUUUGCAAUCCUUUUCCUAAA